GAAAGAUGAAAAGAACUUUGAAAAGAGAGUUAAAUAGUACGUGAAAUUGUUGAAAGGGAAACGAUUGAAGCCAGUCGUACCUACGGGUAAUCAGCCUUUUGGGUGUGAUUUUGUGGAGCGUGAGGAGUUAAACGCCUUCAUGCCUGUAUAUUCGUGCACUUUGGGUGUACUUGCCCGUAUGGUUGGUUAACAUCAAUUUUGGUGGUCAUAAAAUGACUGGAGGAAUGUAGCUUCGAUCUUGUAUUGAAGUGUUAUA
rnacentral:rRNA from 1 species